rnacentral:rRNA from 1 species
AACGAACGCUGGCGGCAGGCCUAACACAUGCAAGUCGAACGCCGUAGCAAUACGGAGUGGCAGACGGGUGAGUAACACGUGGGAACGUACCCUUCGGUCCGGAAUAACUCAGGGAAACUUGGGCUAAUACCGGAUAAGCCCUUACGGGGAAAGAUUUAUCGCCGAAAGAUCGGCCCGCGUCUGAUUAGCUAGUUGGUGAGGUAACGGCUCACCAAGGCGACGAUCAGUAGCUGGUCUGAGAGGAUGAUCAGCCACAUUGGGACUGAGACACGGCCCAAACUCCUACGGGAGGCAGCAGUGGGGAAUAUUGGACAAUGGGCGCAAGCCUGAUCCAGCCAUGCCGCGUGAGUGAUGAAGGCCCUAGGGUUGUAAAGCUCUUUUGUGCGGGAAGAUAAUGACGGUACCGCAAGAAUAAGCCCCGGCUAACUUCGUGCCAGCCGCCGCCGUAACC